CUUGAUUUAUCGCGAACAGCUUCCUGCUUUGAAAUGCACUCUCAGCGCUGGUGUUUAUUGUAUGAAGCUCAAAGGACAAUGAAGCCCUUGACAGAAAGGUCAGGAGGGUGAACCGUGAGCGGGACUCAACUCUGGCAGCGUCAAGCCGAAGGCGGAG
rfam:Candidatus Magnetomorum sp. HK-1 HK1c0909, whole genome shotgun sequence.